UGUUUUUUUUGGCCCAUCUCUCUAGUCUCAAGAUCGUUUUGAAUUCUGCUCCUUUCUUCUGGAGAGUUAACUAUCCCUCCCAGUUCGGUGUCAUCUGCAAACUUGAUGAUCGUGCCUUCUAACCCUUUGUCUAAGUCAUUAAUAAAGACGUUGAACAGAACCGGGCCCAGGACGGAACCCUGCGGCACUCCACUCGUGACUUCUUUCCAAGAUGAAGACGACGCACUGGAUGUUGCUCACCGUGGCGUGACAUCUGCUCCUGCCUUAUAAAUGAGAGUCCUUUAACCCCACAAUAAAUUGGCAAAGUAUUAUGAUGAUUAGGCUCGAUUCAUUGAUCGUGAAGAAACCACUAAUCAUUUCAAUAUUUUUUUUCUAUGAAGACAGGCUGAAAAGUGGGGCAAAUGUGGCAAAGCAACGUCUGAACUUGAUCAAUGUGGAACCUCCAAUGGCGCAGCGUGUUAAAGCGCUGAGCUGCUGAACUUGCGGACUGAAAGGUCGCAGGUUUGAAUCCGGAGAGCGGAGUGAGCACCGCUGUUAGCUCCAGCUUCUGCCAACCUAGCAGUUCGAAAACAUGCAAAUAUGAGUAGAUCAAUAGAUACCACUGCAGCAUGAAAGUAACGGCGCUCCAUGCAGUCAUGCCAGCCACAUGAUCUUGGAGGAGUCUACGGACAACGCCGGCUCUUCAGUUUAGAAAUGGAGAUGAGCACCAACCCCCAGAAUCGGACACGACUGGACUUAACGUCAGGGGAAAACCUUUACCUUUUACCUAUCAUAUCUUAGGAGCCCCCAAUGGUGCAGCAUGUUAAAGCGCUAAGCUGCUGAACUUGCGGACUGAAAGGUCACAGGUUCGAAUCUGGAGAGCAGAGUGAGCACCCGCUGUUAGCCCCAGCUUCUGCCAACCUAGCAGUUCGAAAACGUGCUAAUGUGAGUAGAUCAAUGGAUACCGCUACGGCGGGAAGGUAACGGCGCUUCAUGCAGUCAUGCCAGCCACAUGACCUUGGAAGUGUCUACGGACAACGCCGGCUCUUCAGCUUAGAAAUUAUACUCCUCGACCUUUUGUACUAGUCGCUCUUUUCCUGAUUACUUGAUAUUAAUUCAGGGCUCCUCUCUACCCAAUGUGAUCUUAAAUGAAUCUAUUGCACUUUAUCUAUUUAAAAUUUGUAACUCAUAAUGUGCACCUUGCUUCUCCGCUAUUGCAACCUCAUUGUUUUUAAUGUGAUGUUUUAAUACCGCUUUGUGUUUUUUUGGCUGCUGUGUAUAUAUUAUUAUUGGUUUUUAUUAUUGUUCUUUGAUGUUUCAUAUUUUAUUUUAUCAUUGUUUUGUAUCUGAUUUUGCUGUAAGCCGCCCCGAGUCCCCUUUGGGAGAGAUGGAGGUGGGAUAUAAAUAAACUUAUUAUUAUUAUUAUUA